UACGUAGGGGCCUAGCGUUGUCCGGAUUUAUUGGGCGUAAAGAGCGUGUAGGCGGUUUGGUAGGUCCGUUGUGAAAACUCGAGGCUCAACCUCGAGACGCCGAUGGAAACCAUCAGACUAGAGUCCGGAAGAGGAGAGUGGAAUUCCUGGUGUAGCGGUGAAAUGCGCAGAUAUCAGGAAGAACACCCGUGGCGAAGGCGGCUCACUGGCUCAUUACUGACGCUCAGGCGCGAUAGCGUGGGGAUCAAACAGG
rnacentral:rRNA from 1 species